UUCCCGCAGACCAAUCUCGGGUCGCGCCACGACGCUUUGAGGAGGGGCUACGCAGUGACGUCGUGGUUUGUGGGAGGAGCGUGGAUCGACCACGUUCUUGGGUGACAGCGGAUGAGUACCGCAACAGGCCUCUUCCUGACCAGAACGCCGUUGUGUGCACCAAUCACAUUACCGAGGAUGAGGAAAAGGGGGAGAGAGAGACAUAAUAAUCAUCAUUUUACAGCGAAUGAAUGGGUAUGGAAUUCCACGCGCGCUUUCAACACAUCAGAAAUUACGUGUACCCCAGUAAGCGGCAUUAGCAUGAUGAGGUGGUCCAGAGGGAAAGGGACCUUCAUGGAGGAACGGGUGAUGACAGAAUCUCCUCCACCCACCGGCUUUAAUCUACACUCCAGCCACAACACAAACUGAAGUCACUGACUGACCCUUUUUCAGUUAAUUGAAUUUUACAGCUAACACGCCACUAGCAUUACUGUUAUUGUAGUCGCUUCUUUCAAGUUCAGUUUAUUUUUGAAAGGGAAAUGCAAAAUAAAAGUUCCACUCUUCUUGAAGGGAAAACAAACAUUUCUCUCGGGAUUUCAGAUUCAACUUUUCCGAUCCAUUUGAUGCCUCUGAGUAAUUUGACUUUAAAGAACUGUCAUUACAAAAGCAACAGUAUCGAUCAGCAAUUGCCAAGAGAACGUUUGCUCUGUGACCUUAUGAAAGGACAGUCUUGUCCAAUAACAAGGUACCUCGACGUAAUAGAGUCAUUCUUGUGAAACCAAUAAGUGGCUCAGAUAGUCGAGAGUACCCUAGUCUUUUAUGGAACUCGAAGGUUUACUACUGUGCUCACAAGAAUCCUCUACUGGCUAUAUCCCGAGCCAGAUUAAUCCAGUGCAUAUCCUUCGGCCACAACAAUGGUGAAUCGUAGUCCGGAAGUCAAUUCGAUGUAAUUUUUAUUAUAUUCCCAAACAAUCGAUAUAUAAUUGUAAGGUAUUUUAAUAAAUUACAUUAAGACACGGUUGUGUUA